rnacentral:lncRNA from 1 species
UUUGUUUCUCUGAACUUCAGGGCUGUUGGGAUCAGUCCCUGGGUUUUAAUUUCUGUUUGCUAAUGCAAAUGAAUUCUAUACACUCAGGGUAGAAAAUUGAGCCUACCAAGAGAGCAUCUCAAACCUCCUGGGUGGAGGUUUGCUUGCAUUCAGGUUUCAUGUAAACAGGUGCCUGAAGCUGCCUGUAGAGGCCUCUCUAAGCUGCAGGCUGGGGAAGGACCAGACUGGUCCUGUAAAUUGAAGGCAGAGAAAGAACACCUGACCGUCACCCUACUUGGGAGAAACCAGAGGCCAGUUCUGGAAGUCUACACAUAUGAGAGUUCUGAAGGCAAAUGGCAGCAGAGCCUGAGACUGAAUUUCUAAUAAGUUCUCAGGUGAUGGCGAGGUUGCAGAUCCCUGAGGACUUAAGGGAGCACUCUGAGACAAAGACAGAAACUGAAGGACUCUAGAAGGGAAAGGCUUGGCUGAACUGUCGCAGCUGCCCGCGUCAGUGUCUGUGGUAUCAAAUGGAGACCAUCACAGAAGACCACACAUGAACACAGUGCAGAGAUCAGUGGUUGGUGGAGAGCCCAGCCACAAGGGAUACAGCUUUCCUGGGUCUUGCAUUUGUGUCUCAGAAGAUGACUACAGAAAGACUGUCAGAGCCAGACCACCAGGAAACUCACAGGGACAUAGUCGCUUCUAGAAAUGGCUGCAUAAAGAAGACUGGAGCAGUAUCAAUAAGCAUAUUAAUGCAGAAGGGGACAAUUGCACAGAGAUUCAUCCCUAGACAAAGAACUACAGGCAACUAAGGGCUGAGGGAGAGUUAGCCUCUCCCAGGGACAAGCUUUCUUUUUGGUUGUUCAGUAAGAGUGGGCAAUUAUGAAACAAUAUACACACAAACAACAAAACCAGACUCAGCAGGUUGUACUUAAGAUAUUUG